CACGGCGCCGACGGAGCCAAUCGGAGGCGCGCGGUGGGCGGGCAGAGCGCGACGCGAAGCACCGCGCGGUGAUAAUGCAAUGUGAUUUAUAGCCGGUUCGGUAUUGCUGCAGUACUCCGAGAAAAACAGUCCACAGAGGGACAGGCAUGCAUAAUAACUACAGGGACUGAGGUGGGGGUGCGAGUGAGGGGCAGGUGGAGCCAUAUGGGCUCGGGUGCGCGCGCGCGCGCGCUCUUCGGAGCGGCUGAAUGAAAUUACACAAAAAACAGGGAGGCAGAAUGACAGGUUGCGCCGCUCCUGAGCAGAUGUUACUCAAUUGCUGAAAAUGAAUAUGGUCGAGCUCGACAGAAGACGGUAGUAAAAGCAGUGAGGAAGUACCCGCGCGCGCGUGAGUUGUGGCGGAAUGGGCGAAGUGGGGCGCGUGUCAGAGCAGAUUGUAACGGCACCAUCUGAUAGCGCAGCUGACUUAAUGGCAGGCGACAUAACGCCAUUAGGGGCCCUUUAUAUUCGUGUAGGAGUAUUAAUAUGCGCUUAUCAACACGCUAGUGUCCGUGUGUCAGCGCUGCUGCUCCGGGUCCGGUCGGUCACCAAAUGCGGCACACGAAGCCGUGAAUCCAGCAGGAACCCGACGACCUCCUCCACGCACGCGUCUCUGUUGGCCCUUCGUCUCAGCCAUAUUUCAUCACGCUGGCAGACCUCCACCGGUCAUUUUUCUGCUGUAGGUACUGGAUAUUAUUUCCAUAUUAACUCAGGAAUAGUUUCUUUUUGAUUGAUAUAUUGCAGAGGGUCGUAAUAAACCGCUGCACGCUGAUUUAUGGUAUACAGUAGAAAUACAGUGGAGCCGACAGUCAGCUAAUCACAUAUUGUUUAUGAACACUCCUUUGUAAAUAUUAACGAUUCAUCAUUCAUUGAGUUCGAAACAGUGGAGUUGCUCAGCAUUCACCACAUUCAUGUCUUUCAAAAUUCCCACUAUAGAAAUAAUGACCUGCUGUUGGGAAAUGGAUGCUUAUAGAUCGACUACGUCCUCCUCCCUUUCUGCCUUUGGACUUCAGGUAUCGGUGCAGGAACAUGCAGUACAAAAUGUCCCCGAAGUCUCUUCAUCGGAACAAGAGAUGCAGGAUCUGCGGUUGCAGAGCUUCAUUAAUGGGCUUCAUGAUUGCAAUCAGUCAUUCAGCUGGGUUUCUGUGCAGCGGCGGCCAUUAUUUAUAGACCUGUCACAACUUGCCGUUCGUUUGUACUCCGUUGUUCCGAGUUAUUCGAUAAAAGUAGAGGCACCUGUGAAAAUGUUGACACAAAUUUGCAUUCUGACUCAGAUUUGACAAAGCCAAUUACCCUCAGACCUCAGCGGCUCCCGUCACAGCGCGUGACAUCCUGAGCACAGCGGAAGCGGCUUUGCAGGAACCCGGAGACGCAGAAAUGCUUCUUAAUUCUGGAGAGACUGGCACACGGCGGCGUGCGGGGACGAUUGUGGGUUGUGCAUUGUAAUUAAAGUCAGAAAACUAAUUUACACCUGGAGCACAUAGCUGUAGAUACGCAGCCCGCUCAUUGCCGCGCUGUCACUAUUUGUACUGUGGUUUCUCUGCCGCCACAUGGACUUCUAGAGGCGCCGACUGUAAAUAACGCUGCGGCCGCGGGUUCGACCGCUUUCUGCAGCUCCGUUGCAAUGAGGAGGACGGCCGAGCUCCGCGCUCCGGUUUCGUGCCAUUUCAGCUCCAUUUUGCUCGAGAACCCAAGGUAAGAAGAGCGAAGAGUUAAAUUACGACGUUCCACCGAGAAAUUCAUUAAAAGCGAGGUCUGAGAAGUAGACCCGGAAAAACUUUUUCUUUUGCCUCGUCUUCUAAAGAUCGGCACAGGAGAAUGAAACAUUCCAGGAGAUUGAGGUGGUGAAUAAGCACAUGCGCUAUUACCUUCCAAUUCAAUGAGCAAGGCUAAAUCCACAGGAAAGAUCCAUUUGAGGGGGAACAUUACAUUUUUAUCAUUUUUUAACCUUAACAGGUUUUUUUAAGUUACAUAAGCUCAGUUAUUAACUUUUAAACUAUUUUGUCUGGAACCUACAGAAUCUACGUUUCCCAACAAUAAAUUAUGCAAUACUGUAUUGAUUUUAUUUAAGGCAGGACAAAAUAUCAAAGUAUUAUUAGUAUUAUUAGUAUUAUUAGUAUUUGGCCUGUUUGUGGAAUACCACAAACACUUGCUUUGUGUCAGACAGAAAUGGACAGCAGCCAGUUGUCAUCAGCCUGUUCUGUGUUUGAAAGCAGGUCAGUGUUGAUCCUGAGGGCAGCACAAGCAGAGAAGAACAUGAACAGGCCCAUUUGGACUUAAGCAGCGCCUUGAAAUUGAGGAGCUGCGUUUGAAUGCGAACGAGGGGCGACGAGACGACGGCGGUUUCUCCGUGGGAGCGGCGCGUGGAGCCUGUGGGGUUCAGUGGGUCGAAGCGCGGUGCCGUGGGUGCAGGCGGCUCUGAACCAAUGAGGGACACAGAGCACGGAGUCACCUUUUAAGAAGCGAGUGGAGCCUGAACAGUGCGGCCUUGAAGCCAGAUCAAAGCCACGAGGCGCGAUGGAAGAGAUGAUGGAAUUUAAUCAUGUCUGCAGCCACGCUCUCUCCUCUCUCUAUUUUAUGGCUUUCAAAAUGCAACCGCCAUUUUUUCGUUCAUUUUAAUUUGCCACUCCAUCAAAUUUUUCCAUCACGGCAACACCCUGACUUUUCUGGACGCGAGUCACUGACACAGGCGGCUGAAGAGCGGCGGCGCACGCGCGCACACGCGCGCACAAAAAACAUCAGCAUAAUUACUUUAUUAGCGCCAGCUGAUGUCGGAUCGCCCGGUCAUGUUUCAUGUCACAUCAGCGCCCUGUUUAGCAUCCCCGCUACCUUCUGGGCACCGCGAGGCCUUCGCUGCUGAGCCCCACAAACCCCCCCCCCCCAACACACACGCACACAAACUAAUUAAAAACAUGUAACGAUAGUGCUCCAAGAGCGCGCUAUUAAUCAUCCACAUAUCCCAUAGAUCUCAUGAGAAAACUCCAGCAAAAAGUGAAAUUUGGCGAGGAAAUGCCAGUUUCUUUAUCAUCAGGAGUAUUUUGGUAUUCGUUCCUAUCCAGAACUGAAACCCAUUAAUCAUGAUGCAUUUACGGUGAUUAUUGCACUUGGACUCAAAAGGCAGCAUAGAAGGGGUCCAUGGAAGGCUCAGCAGGGGGCCACAGUGUGACGUUGCUCAGUGAUAGAUCCUGAAAACAUGUGUUUUUGCUUGGUUCUCACCUGCUGCUGAUGUAUUUUUCAACCCCCCCUCUUCUUAAUUUGCCUCCCACCUGGAGUCAGCAGUAGUGGGUGCAGCUUUGGGUGCAGGCAUGGCCUGGAGAGGGGCUGGCAGGUUAAUGAGGACAGCAGAGAGAGAGAGAGAGAGAGAGAGAGAGAGAGGAAACAAAGGUCAGGACGACAGACAGAUAAACCCACACUACAGUGCUAACAUUUACACGCUAAUGCAUAAAUAGACUCAUGUGAACCUGCGCGAUCAUUAGCUGAGAACAUUUAAAAUGAACUUCUUUAUUUGUAAAACAAAUAGAUGGAAAACACUUAAAAGCGAUGCACUGUACUAUUUGUACAUAAUUAUAAUUUCAGUACGUUGAACCUUUUAGUGUCCCGCGAUCUUUAAAUGGUUCUUUAAAAAAAAUUAAUUGCCUGUGAAGGUUUUUUACUUUUGUGAAAAUCAAAAAUCAAACAAGGCCACGAGAAGGCGAACACGCAUCGCUGCCCACACAGUUCAGCAGCAAAGUGAAUGGUGUUUGUUCUUUUUUGUUGACUUCCUGGUUUGUGUGAACAACCACUGGGGACACAUAAUUUUACUAUGAAUCGAAAGCACCGAUGAAUAAGAAAUGAAUAAAUACAGCACACAAUGGAUGAAAGGACGAUGGCACUGCCUUGGAUCAAAAAUCAAUGGAAUCAGUUUAAAACAUUCAAUUUUAAGAAAAAAUUUAGUUUUCAGAACGUCUGAAAAUUACAAAUCUUUUUUGACUGACAUGUUAAACGUCUGCACAUAAAGUGGUCUGCGGUUUUAAUGCGCUCCCACGCCGUGUGCCAUUUGGCUUUUAAGCACCUAUAGAUGAGGCUGUGUCAUCGCUGCUUCCUGCCGUACCUGCCCCCGUCACCACUUCCCUUGUUUCACCCCUGAAUCAAUCUUUCUCAUUUCAUCCAGGAUUGAUUUUGCCAUCUCCAGCGCAGGUGCAAUCCUGAAAUGUGCUCUCACUCACUCACUCACUCACUCCUCCAGCGCUGCUCCGUUCUGUAUUUCGCUCCUUUUCCCCGGCUCCAUCUCGUUCCCUAUCUGUCCCGCUCUGUGUUCCACUGCAGCUCAUUACAAAUGGGGCUCCUUUGCUCGGUCCCCUAACCUCCACAGAGCGGUGGAACAAUGUCUUGAUUGGAUGUGUCUGGCAUUGCUAAGCAUUCUGUGCUGCAGCGCUGGGCUACACGUGAAGUAUAAUUUUGGCAGGUAGCAGGAAAUUAGCACGGAGCUGAUAUACAGGACUGUGGUUGUGCUUUUAUCUCCGAGGCGUUUAAAUUCCGCGUGUGCAAAUUAUGCAGGAAGUAUCAUUUAAUUAAACAUCUGAAUGCUUCGUAUUUUUGCAGGUGCACUCCUGUAAUUAAUUGCUAAAGCACAUAUGUUUGGAAACGCAGGGACAACACUGGUGGAUCCUCACUGCUUCAUUGCAUUGUGUACAAAAGGCCAUCCCACUGAUACAGACACUCGCGGAGGCAGAGGUGCUAAAGCGGCUCAGUAGUCGCAUCUGAUGACUGGGCAGAGCCGAAGAAGCAUCACCCUGGGGAGCGAGCGGAGCCCCGAGUCUGGCAGAGUGGGCAAAAUCCACGCGCCAGCGAGUCAUGUGAUGCCCUGAGGUCCCUGAACGCCUCACCACCAAACAGCUGUAAAACCAUAAUGACCGCAUUGUGGGCCACAAAAUCGACUUUUAAUGCUCACAAAACGCCCCCUUAGUCCUUGAUUUUGUUUAAAAAAAUCCAGCUGUUGCAGUGUUUUUUAAAGAUUAUACAAACAAAAACACACACAAAGACUGAAACUGAAGAUAAAUUAUAGAGCAAGGUGACCCUGAACAUUAAAGUUUCAGCAGCUCAAGUAAAGAAAGGUCUUAUAUGUGUAAAUAUAUGUUCUUGGACUUGAAGAUGAAUGAAAUAUAAAUAUUAAUUUGCUCUGAAAUAACAGAAAUCAGUCUCAAACUUCCCAGCACAAACAUGCUGCAGACGCUGUAACGAGAUCUGCCAGCUCAACAGCCCCAGUCUUUGAAUUGUUUGUACCUUUAGCUUUGAAACGAUGCUCUUUAUUCCAGGAAAGUCUUGAAAUUAAACCUUUUGUCUGCG